rnacentral:rRNA from 1 species
GAUGAACGCUGGCGGCGUGCCUAAUACAUGCAAGUCGAGCGAACAGAUGAGGAGCUUGCUCCUCUGACGUUAGCGGCGGACGGGUGAGUAACACGUGGAUAACCUACCUAUAAGACUGGGAUAACUUCGGGAAACCGGAGCUAAUACCGGAUAAUAUAUUGAACCGCAUGGUUCAAUAGUGAAAGACGGUUUUGCUGUCACUUAUAGAUGGAUCCGCGCCGCAUUAGCUAGUUGGUAAGGUAACGGCUUACCAAGGCAACGAUGCGUAGCCGACCUGAGAGGGUGAUCGGCCACACUGGAACUGACACACGGUCCAGGCUCCGACGGGAGGCCGCAGUAGGGAAUCUUCCGCAAUGGGCGAAAGCCUGACGGAGCAACGCCGCGUGAGUGAUGAAGGUCCUCGGAUCGUAAAACUCUGUUAUUAGGGAAGAACAAAUGUGUAAGUAACGAUGCACGUCUUGACGGUACCUAUCAGAAAGCCACGGCUAACUACGUG